rnacentral:rRNA from 1 species
AUUGAACGCUGGCGGCAUGCCUUACACAUGCAAGUCGAACGGUAACAGGUCUUCGGAUGCUGACGAGUGGCGAACGGGUGAGUAAUACAUCGGAACGUGCCCGAUCGUGGGGGAUAACGAGGCGAAAGCUUUGCUAAUACCGCAUACGAUCUACGGAUGAAAGCGGGGGAUCUUCGGACCUCGCGCGGACGGAGCGGCCGAUGGCAGAUUAGGUAGUUGGUGGGAUAAAAGCUUACCAAGCCGACGAUCUGUAGCUGGUCUGAGAGGAUGAUCAGCCACACUGGGACUGAGACACGGCCCAGACCCCUACGGGAGGCAGCAGUGGGGAAUUUUGGACAAUGGGCGAAAGCCUGAUCCAGCCAUGCCGCGUGCAGGAUGAAGGCCUUCGGGUUGUAAACUGCUUUUGUACGGAACGAAAAGCCUCUUUCUAAUAAAGAGGGGUCAUGACGGUACCGUAAGAAUAAGCACCGGCUAACUACGUG